rnacentral:SRP_RNA from 1 species
GCCGGGAGUGGUGACGCGUGCCUGUAAUCCCAGCUACUCGGGAGGCUGAGGCAGGAGAAUCGCUUGAACCUGGGAGGUGGGGGUUGCAGUGAGCCGAGAUCGCACCACUGUGCUCCAGCCUGGGUGACAGAGCGAGACUCUGUCUCAA